rnacentral:misc_RNA from 1 species
GAUGAAGAACGUAGCGAAAUGAGAUAAGUAAUGUGAAUUGCAGAAUUCAGUGAAUCAUCGAAUCUUUGAACGCACAUUGCGCCCCUUGGUAUUCCGAGGGGCAUGCCUGUUCGAGCGUCAUUAUCACCCCUCAAGCUUUGCUUGGUGUUGGGGCCUGCUGUAAUAGGCAGCCCUUAAAAUCAGUGGCGGUGCUUCAAGGCUCUAAGCGUAGUAAUUCUCCUCGCUAUAGUGUCUAGUGGUUGCCAGCCAGAACCCCCCAAUUUUCAUGAUUGACCUCGGAUCAGGUAGGGAUACCCGCUGAACUUAAGCAUAUCAAUAAGCGGAGGA